GGCCCCGCUCGUGGCAGCCGGCCUUCCGUCCGGCGCAUCCGCUCGCCCCAGCGCCGGACCGCGGGUGCGUGCGGAGGCCCUGGCUCCCGCUCUCCGGGUCCGGGUGAGCCCCUGAUCCUCCCCGACGCCGGCCUGGCCGAGGGGUGUUCCCGCAGGACAGAGGCUCUGAGAGAGGAGGGCUGAUUUGCCCCGGCACACCCGUCCCCCGCCGGUGCCCGGAGGGGGCUGCACCGCCAUGCGCUGCCGCAGACUGGCCCUGGGCCUGGGCUUCUGCCUGCUGGUGGGCACCGUCCUCUGCACUCUGUGGGCAUAUGCCGACAGCUGGCUGCCCUUCUCCUACAUCCCCUACUACCUCCCCUGCCCGGAGAUCUUCAACAUGAAGCUGCAGUUCCGGGGGGAGAAGCCGUUCCAGCCGGUGGCCCGGUCGCAGUACCCUCAGCCAAAGCUGCUGGAGCAGAGGCCCACCGAGCUGCUGACGCUCACGCCCUGGCUGGCUCCCAUCGUGUCCGAGGGAACCUUCGACCCGGAGCUCCUGCGGCUCAUCUACCAGCCGCUGAACCUGACCGUCGGGCUCACCGUGUUCGCCGUGGGGAAGUACCUGGGCUUCGUGCAGCACUUCCUGGAGUCGGCCGAGCAGUUCUUCAUGCAGGGCUACCGGGUGAGCUACUACGUCUUCACCGACGCGCCCGCCGCGGUGCCCCGGGUGCCGCUGGGCCCGGGCCGCGUGCUCCGCGUCCUGCCCGUGCAGAGCCACGCCCGCUGGGAGGAGGUCUCCAUGCGCCGCAUGGAGGCCAUCAGCCGGCACAUCGCCCAGCGGGCGCACCGCGAGGUGGACUACCUCUUCUGCGUGGACGUGGACAUGGUGUUCCGGAACCCCUGGGGCCCCGAGACCCUGGGCGACCUGGUGGCCGCCAUCCACCCCGGCUACUACGCCGCGCCCCGCCGCGAGUUCCCCUACGAGCGCAGGCACGUCUCCACCGCCUUUGUGGCGGACGGCGAGGGCGACUUCUACUACGGCGGGGCGGUCUUCGGCGGCCGGGUGGACAGGGUGUACGAGUUCGCCCGGGGCUGCCACAUGGCCAUCCUGGCGGACAAGGCCAACGGCGUCAUGGCGGCCUGGCAGGAGGAGAGCCACCUGAACCGCCGCUUCAUCUCGCACAAGCCCACCAAGGUGCUGUCCCCCGAGUACAUCUGGGACGACAGGAAGCCCCGGCCCCCCGACCUGAAGCUCAUCCGCUUCUCCACGCUCGACAAGAACACCCAAUGGCUGCGCAGCUGACGGUAGAGCCGGGGCUGCUGGGGACGGGGGCCAGCGGGGCAGCCAGCAGCCCCAGGGAGCACCCAGCUCACUCCAGGGGAGCACUUAGCAGCCCCAGCAAAGCACCUAGCUCACCCCAGGGAGCACCCAGCAGCCCCAGGGAGCACCCAGCUCACCCCAGAGGAACCCUCAACUCCAGAGGAGCACCCAGCAGCCUGAGGGAGUACCCAGCUCUCCCCAGUCAGUGCCUCACUUCCCAAGCCUUAGCUGAGACCUGUCCUGUGCGGCCGCCUCCCUGUCAGGGAGAUCCAACUGGAAAGCGACAUGGAAGGGCCUUUAAAACUGUGAGGGCUGUGCCCACUGAGAAAGCAAACCUAAGAGGGGGGGACGGGAGGGGUGGUGAAGAGGGCAGGCCCAGAGGCUCCCAGCAGACUCGCCUUCGUGCGGCUCUGUGCCUGCCUGCUCAGCCCUGUGUCCCUCCGCCCCCUUUGCUGCCUGCUGCCUUCGAGGUCACCUGUCCCCGCUGGCUGUGAAGGGCGGCCAGGCCCCCUUUCCUCCAGCUGCAGGGCUCCAGCCCCACCCAGGACCCUCGCUGGCUUCCGGUCCAGCUGCACCCACGCCCCGUGGCGGCCCCUCCCUGGCACUGCCGCCUCUGCCACUGCCGCCUCUGCUAUGCCGCCUCUGCCAUGCCGCCUCUGCUGUCAGGAGGUCGGAGGUUUUAAUAAGGGCAGCACGGGCCGGGCCCUCACCAGGCUUCCCCCGUGCCUCUGAGCGCCUUGGCCAUGGCGAGGAGCAAUGGGGCAGGAAGGGUGCGCCCCAGCCGUAUCUGGGUGAGCACCCGCCCCGGAGACGCUGGUGCCAGCCCAGAGCCCGCUCCGCAGCACGUGGUGCGCCCGGUGAGCGAGGAGAGAGCCUGGGUGGAGGGCCCUGGGUGCUUCCGAGUGAGGCAGGGACAGGGUGGGCCCGCGGCCUGUGCGUCCCCGGUGGGUCUCCCUGCCCUCGGGAGGCAGGUCUGAAGCAGGCUGUGUGGAAGGAGCAGGCCUUGCGCCACUGCGGGCCCAGCCCCGGCCAGUCUGACCCCAGAGGCAGUGUUCGCACAGGAGCCCGAGCCCAGCCUUGUCUGUCAUUUUGACCCUCAUUACAGUGCGUCUUCAGAACCACCCGGCUAGUGUGGCUCAGUGGUUGAGCAUUGACCUAUGACCGGGGCAGUCGUGGUUUGAUACCCGGUCAGGGCACAUGCUGGGCUGUGGGCUUGGUCCAAUGGUUCUAGCUCA